CCCUGCUGAUUAUAGCCAGAAGCUGGUGGCUGACUGUAACUGUAACCAGUACUAUCUGCUGGUGCUGCUGAACCACCAGGGGCUUGUGGUUGCUGAGAGGAUGGUUGUUGACUGUAGUAAUCAUAACCACUUCCCUGGCUAGUUUGCUGUGUUGGUGUCUGGUCCCAAUUGCCAGGAUAUCCACCAGGUGUUGGUUGGGAAGGAUAGCCACCAUAAGGAGGCUGAGACAUGUUAUACUGAGGUGUUUGACCAGGAUAUGCUCCCGGCUGCACAUAACCAUAACCAGGUUGUUGCAUUGAAGGAGCCCCAGGUGUGCCCCAGCUUGU
rnacentral:lncRNA from 1 species